rnacentral:rRNA from 1 species
UACGGAGGGGGCUAGCGUUGUUCGGAAUUACUGGGCGUAAAGCGCACGUAGGCGGCUUUGUAAGUUAGAGGUGAAAGCCCGGGGCUCAACUCCGGAAUUGCCUUUAAGACUGCAUCGCUCGAAUUGUGGAGAGGUAAGUGGAAUUCCGAGUGUAGAGGUGAAAUUCGUAGAUAUUCGCAAGAACACCAGUGGCGAAGGCGGCUCACUGGCCCAUUACUGACGCUGAGGCACGAAAGCGUGGGGAGCAAACAGG